rnacentral:rRNA from 1 species
GCAGUGGGGAAUAUUGCACAAUGGGCGAAAGCCUGAUGCAGCGACGCCGCGUGAGGGAUGACGGCCUUCGGGUUGUAAACCUCUUUCAGCAGGGACGAAGCGCAAGUGACGGUACCUGCAGAAGAAGCACCGGCUAACUACGUGCCAGCAGCCGCGGUAAUACGUAGGGUGCAAGCGUUGUCCGGAAUUACUGGGCGUAAAGAGUUCGUAGGCGGUUUGUCGCGUCGUUUGUGAAAACCAGCAGCUCAACUGCUGGCUUGCAGGCGAUACGGGCAGACUUGAGUACUGCAGGGGAGACUGGAAUUCCUGGUGUAGCGGUGAAAUGCGCAGAUAUCAGGAGGAACACCGGUGGCGAAGGCGGUGUCUCUGGGCAGUAACUGACGCUGAGCACG